rnacentral:rRNA from 1 species
GAGUUUGAUCCUGGCUCAGAGCGAACGCUGGCGGCAGGCCUAACACAUGCAAGUCGAACGCCCCUUCGGGGGAGUGGCGGACGGGUGAGUAACGCGUGGGAAUGUGCCCUUUGGUACGGAACAACUGAGGGAAACUUCAGCUAAUACCGUAUGUACCCUUCGGGGGAAAGAUUUAUCGCCAUUGGAGCAGCCCGCGUUGGAUUAGGUAGUUGGUGGGGUAAAGGCCUACCAAGCCUACGAUCCAUAGCUGGUCUGAGAGGAUGAUCAGCCACACUGGGACUGAGACACGGCCCAGACUCCUACGGGAGGCAGCAGUGGGGAAUCUUGCGCAAUGGGCGAAAGCCUGACGCAGCCAUGCCGCGUGUAUGAUGAAGGUCUUAGGAUUGUAAAAUACUUUCACCGGGGAAGAUAAUGACGGUACCCGGAGAAGAAGCCCCGGCUAACUUCGUGCCAGCAGCCGCGGUAAUACG